rnacentral:rRNA from 1 species
GACGAACGCUGGCGGCGUGCUUAACACAUGCAAGUCGAACGGAAAGGCCCUGCUUUUGUGGGGUGCUCGAGUGGCGAACGGGUGAGUAACACGUGAGUAACCUGCCCAUGACUUUGGGAUAACUUCAGGAAACUGGGGCUAAUACCGGAUAGGAGCUCCUGCUGCAUGGUGGGGGUUGGAAAGUUUCGGCGGUUGGGGAUGGACUCGCGGCUUAUCAGCUUGUUGGUGGGGUGGUGGCUUACCAAGGCUUGGACGGGUAGCCGGCCUGGGAGGGUGACCGGCCACAUUGGGCCUGGGAUACGGCCCAGACUCCUACGGGCGGCAGCGGUGGGGAAUCUUGCACAAUGGGCGGAGGCCUGAUGCAGCAACGCCGCGUGCGGGAGGACGGCCUUCGGGUUGUAAACCGCUUUCGCCUGUGACGAAGCGUGCGUAACGGUAUUGGGUAAAGACGCACCGGCUACCUCCGU